rfam:Danio rerio chromosome 4, GRCz11 reference primary assembly.
CCUUCGAUAGCUCAGUUGGUAGAGCGGAGGACUGUAGGUGGGAUGAUGGCAAUGCUUAGGUUGCUGGUUCGACUCCGGCUCGAAGGA